rnacentral:rRNA from 1 species
AUACGGAGGAUCCGAGCGUUAUCCAGAUUUAUUGGGUUUAAAGGGUGCGCAGGCGGGAGAUUAAGUCGGCGGUGAAAUUUUGCAGCUCAACUGUAAAAGUGCCUUCGAAACUGGUUUCCUUGAGUGUAGAUGAAGUAGGCGGAAUUUGUGGGGUAGCGGUGAAAUGCAUAGAUAUCACGAGGAACUCCGAUUGCGCAGGCAGCUUACUAAACUACUACUGACGCUCAGGCACGAAGGCGUGGGGAUCAAACAGGAUUAGAUACCCUGGUAGUCCACGCAGUAAACGAUGAUUACUAGCUGUUUGCGAUACAAUGUAAGCGGCUGAGCGAAAGCGUUAAGUAAUCCACCUGGGGAGUACGUUCGCAAGAAUGAAACUCAAAGGAAUUGACGGGG